GAUGAAGAACGCAGCAAAAUGCGAUAAGUAAUGUGAAUUGCAGAAUUCAGUGAAUCAUCGAAUCUUUGAACGCACAUUGCGCCCGCCAGUAUUCUGGCGGGCAUGCCUGUUCGAGCGUCAUUUCAACCCUCAAGCACAGCUUGGUGUUGGGACUCGCGUUAAUUCGCGUUCCCCAAAUUGAUUGGCGGUCACGUCGAGCUUCCAUAGCGUAGUAGUGAAACCCUCGUUACUGGUAAUCGUCGCGGCCACGCCGUUAAACCCCAACUUCUGAAUGUUGACCUCGGAUCAGGUAGGAAUACCCGCUGAACUUAAGCAUAUCAAUAAGCGGAGGA
rnacentral:misc_RNA from 1 species